rnacentral:rRNA from 1 species
GACGAACGCUGGCGGCGCGCUUAACACAUGCAAGUCGAGCGAGAACCAGGUCUUCGGACCUGGGGAAAGCGGCGAACGGGUGAGUAACACGUGAGUAAUCCACCCUCGGCACCGGGAUAGCCCGGGGAAACUCGGAUUAAUACCGGAUGGCCCAACAGCUCUUCGGGGCGGUUGGAAAAGGUAGCUUCGGCCUCCGGCCGAGGACGAGCUCGCGGCGGAUUAGCUUGUUGGUGGGGUAAUGGCCUACCAAGGCGACGAUCCGUAGCUGGUCUGAGAGGACGAUCAGCCACACUGGGACUGAGACACGGCCCAGACUCCUACGGGAGGCAGCAGUGGGGAAUCUUGCGCAAUGGGCGAAAGCCUGACGCAGCGACGCCGCGUGAGGGAAGAAGGCUUUCGGGUUGUAAACCUCUUUCAGGAGGGACGAAGCUACUCGGGUUAAUAGCCCAGAGGGUGACGGUACCUCCAGAAGAAGCCCCGGCUAACUACGUGCCAGCAGCCGCGGUAAGAC